UUGACUGGCAUGCAGGUAACCCUGGACACAAUACCGAAAGAUAAGAUAAGGACGGAUGAUGAACUCUUCAAUGAUAAACCAACGACAAAGCGUUACGAAAGGCUCCGAUCGUUCAAUUCUGCCCCUUUACAUCGUCGCCAGUGUCUCCACAACGUUCCUGCAAUUUUUAACGCGUCAGACUUGUCGAACCUGAUGGAAAACUUUCGUCGUUGGAGACAAAGUACAAGGAAAGCGGCGGCUAACAGGUUUAUCUUCGUUGGGAAUGCCGUGCCUCAAAAUGCUAGUCCUCCAGCCGAGUACGACCGCCAGAAAUUCUGUGAUAAUGAAAUUGUUUCCUCCAAGUACACAGCGCUGAACUUCCUGCCGAAAAAUUUGUUUGAACAGUUCCGACGUAUCGCAAAUUUCUACUUCCUCUGCAUAGCCAUUAUUCAGAUUGUUAGCGACAGCCCCACUAGUCCGAUUACCAGCAUCCUUCCUUUGAUCUUUGUUGUUGUUGUAACGGCAGUUAAACAAGGUUACGAGGAUUUUUUAAGGCACCGAAAUGAUCGGCAGGUUAAUGAGCAAUUGAUUGAUGUGGUACGAAACGGAGAGUUACAGAAAGUUAAAUCCAAGGAUAUUCACGUAGGAGAUGUACUCAGGAUCGAAGAGGAUGAUAGUUUUCCCUGCGAUUUAGUGCUGUUGGCGUCAUCGUACGCUGAGGGAAAGUGCUACCUGACUACGGCUAACCUGGACGGCGAAACAAAUUAUAAAAUGAAAAGUUGCCCAAAGUUGACUCGCGAUUUCAAUGAUCCAGAAAAAAUGGAUCGAUUAAGGGCACACAUUCAGUAUCAACAGCCGACGGUGAAUCUCUACCAAUUUGUUGGCACCUUGACUGUAUACUCGACAAGAGUUGCUCCAGAGGACUCGUCAGAACUCCUGGCAAGUUCUGAUACUGACGGAGGAGUGGCUUCCUUAGGAUUAGAUAAUCUUCUUUUACGAGGUGCUAGAUUGAAAGAUACAGAUUUCGUCUACGGAUGCGCCGUUUAUACUGGACAGGAUACAAAACUAGGUCUCAACUCGUUGCUGACCAACAACAAGUUCUCCACCGUUGAAAAGAGCAUGAAUUACUUUCUCCUCGCUUUUUUGGUCCUUUUGAUUUUUGAAAUUGCCCUGUGUACAAUACAGAAAUACGCCAAACAGCCUUAUCUGGCUGACGCAUUUUAUCUCGGUGAACUGCCACCAACAUCUUUCGGUGGAGUCAUGCAGGAUCUUGCAUCAUUUCUUAUCAUUUUCAACUACGUCAUUCCUAUAUCACUCUACGUUACUCUUGAAAUGCAAAAGUUUUUGGGGACUAUUUUCUUUGUGUGGGACGAUGACCUUUACUGCCCAGUUGCGGACGAACGGGCCGUUUGCAACACCUCUGAUCUCAACGAAGAAUUGGGACAAGUGGAAUACUUGUUAACUGACAAGACCGGCACCUUGACCGAGAACUGUAUGGAAUUUCGCCAGUGCUCCAUUGGAGGUACAAAGUAUAUUGAAGAAGAUUGCGUUUUGAUGAGAGCAACUGAUAAUAGUGCGACUAGUUUGGAACGGGUUGAAGAGUUUUCGGCGGAAGUUGAAGAUUUUCUUAUCACUCUGGCCCUUUGCCAUACAGUCACGAUUACGGGCAACAACAAACGCAAGAAAAAACUAAGAGCAAGUAGAACUGAAAUCAUACCUGGUAUGGAAAACACGGCUUUUCAAUUCCAUAGAGGUGAUUAUGAUUAUCAGGCCUCCAGUCCAGAUGAGAAAGCAUUAGCCGAAGCGUGUCAAAGAUUGGAUAUGGUGUAUUGCGGAGAGACCAACGAUAUAUGCAGAGUUCUGUUUCAAGGUCAAGAACGAUUAUAUAGUCGUUUACACGUGCUAGAAUUCGACUCUGAUCGGAAACGCAUGUCUGUGAUUCUCCAGUUUCCGGACGACUCCAUUUGGCUUCUGUGUAAGGGCGCUGAAAGCGCGAUCCUGCCUCGUUGUGACUUUGGACCUGUUUCCGAAACCGAAAGCCACAUCAAAGACUAUGCAAUGAUGGGAUUGCGAACAUUGGCGAUUGCAGUCCGUCCUUUAUCCGCAGAGGAUUAUGAAGAAAUUAGUUUUCAACUGGACCAAGCUCAUCAGGCUCUAACCGAUAGAGAGAAAAAAGUGUCUGAAGUGUGCGACCUCAUAGAAUCACAUAUGACGUUGCUAGGAGCGACAGGGGUAGAAGAUCAACUACAAGACGGCGUCCCUGAAACACUAGAAUCGCUCAGAGCUGCAGGAAUCAAGGUUUGGGUAUUGACUGGUGAUAAAUUGGAAACUGCCGUGAAUAUCGCCCAUUCGUGCGGACAUUUCAAACGCGGCACAGAACUAUUAAUUCUGAGUGACCCAGAGAAAACUGAAGAAACUUUGGAAAACCUUGAAAAGAAAAUAAUUGAUACAAGAGAUCGCCAUUUUGGCAUGGUAGUGGAUGGUCAAUGCUUAGCUGUGGCUCUAAAGCAGCACAGAGAUAGGUUCAGUCAGAUAGCCAGACACUGUGAAGCUGUCGUUUGUUGCCGCAUGUCGCCCAUCCAAAAAGCCGAAGUAGUAAAAUUAGUUAAAGGAUUUCCUGGGAAGCCUAUUACUGCAGCCAUUGGUGAUGGAGCAAAUGAUGUCUCAAUGAUUCAGGAAGCUCAUAUUGGAUUGGGUCUAAUGGGAAAAGAAGGACGUCAAGCAGUUCGUUGCGCUGAUUUUGCCUUUGCCCGUUUUCGAUUUCUUCGGAAAGUUUUGCUCGUUCACGGUCAUUGGUAUUACUGGCGUGUUUCUUCCCUUGUCCAGUAUUUCUUUUACAAAAACAUAGCAUUUAUCACGCCAGUGGUUUUCUUCACUAUCCACAGUGCGUACUCUACUCAGCCAGUUUACGACCCCUACUUUUUGACCUUCUACAACAUUCUUUUUACCUCGUUGCCAAUCCUCAUCUACGGUUUAUUUGAACAGAAUUUUACUGCGCCACAGCUUCUCGAGCACCUUCACCUUUAUAAAGAUAUUACGAAAAAUGCUCUAAUGAGCUGGGGACAGUUUUUCAAGUGGAACUUGUUGGGUAAUAAAACUUAUACGGAGUUUGGCAUUCCAUUGUCGUUUACUUUGGGUGUUUGCUUCUGUGGCAGUCAGACCCAGCGUUUUUCGAUAGCGGAAUAACGUUAGACUAUUGGAGUUUCGGGACGUUAAUAUAUCAUGCCGUCAUCUUUAUCGUCAGCAUAAAGUUGGCUAUCGAAUCUCGUUAUUGGACAGCGCUAUUCAUUUUUUCUAUUUUGAUAUCCAUAAUCGGAUUCAUAGGCCUUACAUUCCUUUAUUCUGGAGUUGUCUU
rnacentral:misc_RNA from 1 species